rnacentral:lncRNA from 1 species
CCAUCCUUGAAUCCACUCACUUGCCCAGCCCCUGAACCAACUGAUGAAUGUGGUGAAGUCUUCCCUUCGUCACCCCAGGUGCAGCCACAGCCUCUGCAGCCACCCUGGGGGAGAGACAGCUCCAGGUUCCCGCAAGGAGCAAAGAGAUUUUUGACUUUGUCUUCUUUUAUUGACAUUGAGGAGAAGCUUCUGACUCAGGCGAGCCUCACAAUAAGCUGUUUUUCAACUUCAGUAGACCCGGAGGACCUGCUAAGGUGAGGUGUUCUGGAAGGGUCUCUGCUCCUACUCUGAGAAGUAAAAUGUGUUUCUUUGGUGGAUGUGAAACCAACAAACCACUGUGGUGCCUCUCUACAUCUGAAGGAUGAGCCAGCCAAGCCAGGGGAACUGACGACCCCACACACGUCUGCACUGCUGUGGCCGUGUUGAACACGGACUCCUUCUUCAGGGCAGCCUUGGGCCAUCGGAGGGCUGCUGUAUGCAGUGACGGCCACCAAGUGUCCUUGGCCAGGGGAGUGAUUUACAGGGACUGAGAUCCUGACUUGUGACCCAGACACGAAUGCAUCCUUGUUCCAUUUUGUUAUUGCUCAACCGUCAUCUGGCCAUCCCCAAAGCCCACCUCUGUGAGAAAGGCCAGUGCUUGUCCUCGUGACACCCCUGAGACCUCGAUGGAGCAAGUCCCAGGGCCCAUCAUACAUUUUUAAAGAAAAUCUUCUUUUGGUGAGAAGAUCAAAGGGCCAGGCAGAAAUGGAAAAGCACUUUCUGGCAUCAGACUUCCUCUGACUUCUCCGGUUGCCACACCACUGAAAGACUGCCCCACAGUGCGAGGGACGUCCACAUCUGCCUGGCUCUCCG